AUUGAACGCUGGCGGCAUGCUUUACACAUGCAAGUCGAACGGUAACAGGUUAAGCUGACGAGUGGCGAACGGGUGAGUAAUGCAUCGGAACGUGCCCGAUCGUGGGGGAUAACGUAGCGAAAGUUACGCUAAUACCGCAUACGAUCUGAGGAUGAAAGCGGGGGACCGUAAGGCCUCGCGCGAUCGGAGCGGCCGAUGUCAGAUUAGGUAGUUGGUGGGGUAAAGGCCCACCAAGCCGACGAUCUGUAGCUGGUCUGAGAGGACGACCAGCCACACUGGGACUGAGACACGGCCCAGACUCCUACGGGAGGCAGCAGUGGGAAAUUUUGGACAAUGGGCGCAAGCCUGAUCCAGCAAUGCCGCGUGCAGGAAGAAGGCCUUCGGGUUGUAAACUGCUUUUGUACGGAGCGAAAAGGCUCUCUCUAAUACGGGGGGCUCAUGACGGUACCGUAAGAAUAAGCACCGGCUAACUACGUGCCAGCCGCCGCAGUAAAAC
rnacentral:rRNA from 1 species